ensembl:lncRNA
CGUUAACAUAGUAUUGUUUUCUUAAUCUGUAAAUAAAGGAUACAAUUUCAUGCCAAUGUUUAGUUUGGGUCUGGUAUACACUGUAUUCUGUAUAAUUUCAUUAUCAAGACUAACUAGUGCACUUACUGUAAUUAUAUUUAAGUACUACUAAGAGAGAUGUACACUUGUAAUAAAUACAUUAAUAGUUUAUUUUCAUUGCACUUUUAAUCAGCACACUUGAAGUAAAGUGAAAAAGUGAAGUUUGCAAUCUUCAGUUUGGUACUUUCACUGUUAAUCUGAGUUGUCGGUUGUGAUCGAAAGAAUUAGCAGCAGAAAUGAGCUUCUGACUACAGUGUGGAACCCGUACUGACGUCUGAUGAUGAUGACACUUACAGCAACACCCAAAAGGACGGGCCUCAUUCUUAUCUCCCUCUAUGAAUACAGUUAGAUGCCUUUGAACAUUAUAUCUUCGGAUCCUCUGAUUUUCCUCAACAUCUUUACAGAGGUGAGUACAUCAUUUUGUGGCAAUAUAUGACACAUCAGUUCAACAGAUAAAUGAUUAUUAGUUUUAAAACUUAAUAUUCAGUCAUGUCCAAUAAGGCUUAUAGAACUAGAGAUGAGGGUUACUCCUCUAUGCAUCCAGUAAAAUAAAUUCAAUAUGAAUAACAGUUUACUUUCAAAAAUAUACCGAACAAAAUUACAGAAUCUUGUUUAGGUGUAAAAAGAUAAUACUGAAACUAUCGUUCACUCUUCUUACAGUACACUUGCUUACUUUGUUUUGAAAAUAUUUUCUUAUUUAUAGUUUAUUUUAGAUGUGCUGUUUUGACAUCCUCAGAAUGAAAUAUGGAUUAAAUGCAGUUUAAUGUAAAUAAUUUUUGUAUUCAGUUACAAAUGAAAGUGUUCAUAGGAUACUUCAGGCAUAGUAAAACUUAAGCUCACUGUAUGCAUUUGAACAUAGGCACAUUCAAAUGUGUCUAACCUCACUUCCCUUGGACUUUUUCAGUAGGACAUUUGUCACAGAAACAAAAAUGAGCAAACUGGAAGAGGCCAUGGAAAAACUUCUUGAUGUAUUUCAGCAAGGUAACCCAAAAGACAAAAAGAUAAAGAAUGCAGACCUGAAGAGAAUCCUGAAUAAUGAUUUGGAAAAAUGGUCGAAGGACCACCCGCGCAAGAUAAAAAACUUCUUGGAAAGGCUGGACAAAAACCCAGGCAGUAGUUUGGAUUUUGCGCAGUUUGUUCACUAUGUGACUUGGCUGAUGAUAGAUUGUGAUAGCUACUUUAAAAAGUAGACUCCUGCACAUGUAGCUUAAACAUUAGCAUGUUGCUAACACAGAAAGUGGAAAUGGAGAACAUCUUAACUUCACUCUGUUCAAUGAAAAAUACCCCUCCACUCAACCCUUUUUACUGUAUUGUUGUAAUGUAACCAUAAAAGCACAAAAUAUGCGUCUCAUCACAUAAGCCUUUGCCCCCCCAAAAAACCAACCCAAAAACAAAACUAAAUGAUGCUGUAAUUUCUUUGUAUGUCAGACAGCCUAUAAUUUUUUUACUCCGCAAUACAGCAACAACUCUCAACCCAGUUAAUAUCAUUUUUUUGUCAUUAUGAUAUUAACUCUUUCACCUUUGUACUCAUUGAUAAUGUUAAUAUGAAUGUAUUAAGACUCUCAGAGUUUAUAUACAUGUGAAUGUAAAUCUGGUUGUGUGUCUUUUCUAAAACCAUCUUGAUUUAUUGAGUCUCUGAAAUGUUUUCUGUGUGUUUUUGUCAGGGUUCCUGGGUCGCUGACCCAGUGAUUCAGUUCUGUUCAUGUUCAGUUUAGUUUGCCACAUUAAUGUUCUCACUUCCUGUUUUCUCCCAUGUCAGCUUGUGUCAUUAGUCGGAUUAUGUUCAGCCCUGUACUCACCUGUUUCCAAUCAUUGUCAUCAUUCCACCUGUGUAUUUAAGCUCCUCGGUUUCACCAGUUCUUGGUCGUGUCAUUGAUGUUCGUGUGAUGUUGUCCUUUCCGUGUGUUCCCUCAAUUCAGUCAGCCAUUCAGUUAUCCAGCCAGUCAGUGUCAGUUCACCCUCUGUUCAUCCAUUCCUUAUAAUAAACCUUCACCAGUCUUCACCUACCUGCGAGUCCUGCGUUUGGGUUCCUUCUUCCUCGCCUCCACACAAAAGCUGACAGUUUUAGAACAAACCAGUGCUGUUGCUGAUCAAAAGAGGUGCUAUGACACCUCUUAAUCAUGCAGAUGAUUAUGAAGAGGUCUUGUAUACAUAAACCUCAAACAAAUAUUUAAUAAAU